UACGAAGGGUGCGAGCGUUAUUCGGAAUGAUUGGGCGUACAGGGUGCGCAGGCGGUAUAUUAAGUCAACUGUCAAAUCCCCCAGCUUAACUGGGGACCGGCGGUAGAUACUGGUAUGCUAGAGGAUGGAAGAGAGAAGUGGAAUUCUUGGAGUAGCGGUAAAAUGCGUAGAUCUCAAGAGGAACACCGAUGGCGAAGGCAGCUUCUUGGUCCAUUCCUGACGCUCAUGCACGAAAGCGUGGGGAGCAAACAGG
rnacentral:rRNA from 1 species